CCUACGGGGGGCUGCAGUAGGGAAUAUUGCUUAAUGGGCGAAAGCCUGAAGCAGCAACGCCGCGUGUACGAUGAAGGCCUUCGGGUUGUAAAGUACUUUUGCAGGGGAUGAGGAAGGACAGUACCCUGAGAAUAAGUCUCGGCUAACUACGUGCCAGCAGCCGCGGUAAAACGUAGGAGACGAGCGUUAUCCGGAUUUACUGGGCGUAAAGCGCGUGCAGGCGGCACGGAAAGUUGGAUGUGAAAGCUCCCGGCUUAACUGGGAGAGGUCGUUCA
rnacentral:rRNA from 1 species